rnacentral:rRNA from 1 species
CCUUGCGGCCGUACUCCCCAGGCGGUCGACUUAUCGCGUUAGCUGCGCCACUAAGAUCUCAAGGAUCCCAACGGCUAGUCGACAUCGUUUACGGCGUGGACUACCAGGGUAUCUAAUCCUGUUUGCUCCCCACGCUUUCGCACCUCAGUGUCAGUAUCAGUCCAGGUGGUCGCCUUCGCCACUGGUGUUCCUUCCUAUAUCUACGCAUUUCACCGCUACACAGGAAAUUCCACCACCCUCUACCGUACUCUAGCUCAGUAGUUUUGGAUGCAGUUCCCAGGUUGAGCCCGGGGAUUUCACAUCCAACUUGCUGAACCACCUACGCGCGCUUUACGCCCAGUAAUUCCGAUUAACGCUUGCACCCUUCGUAUUACCGCGGCUGCUGGCACGAAGUUAGCCGGUGCUUAUUCUGUUGGUAACGUCAAAACAGCAAGGUAUUAACUUACUGCCCUUCCUCCCAACUUAAAGUGCUUUACAAUCCGAAGACCUUCUUCACACACGCGGCAUGGCUGGAUCAGGCUUUCGCCCAUUGUCCAAUAUUCCCCACUGCUGCCUCCCGUAGGAGUCUGGACCGUGUCUCAGUUCCAGUGUGACUGAUCAUCCUCUCAGACCAGUUACGGAUCGUCGCCUUGGUAGGCCUUUACCCCACCAACUAGCUAAUCCGACCUAGGCUCAUCUGAUAGCGUGAGGUCCGAAGAUCCCCCACUUUCUCCCUCAGGACGUAUGCGGUAUUAGCGCCCGUUUCCGGACGUUAUCCCCCACUACCAGGCAGAUUCCUAGGCAUUACUCACCCGUCCGCCGCUGAAUCCAGGAGCAAGCUCCCUUCAUCCGCUCGACUUGCAUGUGUUAGGCCUGCCGCCAGCGUUCAAUCUGAGCCAGGAUCAAACUCUC